rnacentral:rRNA from 1 species
GUUAUCUGGUGGAUGGAUAAUUUCACCUGCUCAAUGUUAAAUAGCCGCAGGUUUUCUGUGCAAAGGUAGCAUAAUCAAUUGUCUUUUAAUUGGAGGCUGGAAUGAAGGGUAGAACUGAGUAAUGGGUUUUACUACUUGAAAUUAGAUUAGUAAUCAAAAUAUUGUUAUGAGCUUUUGGGACGAGAAGACCCUAGAAGCUAGAGAGGUUUUUUAAUUGGGGAGAUUGGUGAAUAUAAGGAACUUUAUUUUAGUUACUCUAGGGAUAACAGCGUUAUUAGUUUUGGAAGUUCUUAUUUGAAUUCUAGUUUGCGACCUCGAUGUUGAAUUAAAAGGUGAAGAAGUUUUAGUCUGUUCGACUAUUAAAUUUUUACA